GACGAACGCUGGCGGCGUGCUUAACACAUGCAAGUCGAACGGAAAGGCCCUGCUUUUGUGGGGUGCUCGAGUGGCGAACGGGUGAGUAACACGUGAGUAACCUGCCCUUGACUUUGGGAUAACUUCAGGAAACUGGGGCUAAUACCGGAUAGGAGCUCCUGCUGCAUGGUGGGGGUUGGAAAGUUUCGGCGGUUGGGGAUGGACUCGCGGCUUAUCAGCUUGUUGGUGGGGUAGUGGCUUACCAAGGCUUUGACGGGUAGCCGGCCUGAGAGGGUGACCGGCCACUUGGGGACUGAGAAACGGCCCAGACCCCUACGGGGGGCAGGAGUGGGAAAUAUUGCAAAAGGGGCGGAAGCCUAGUGCAGCAACGCCGGGGGGGGGAUGGCGGCCUUCGGGUUGAAAACCGCUUUCGCCUGUGACGAAGCGGGGGUGGCGGUAAGGGGAAAAGAAGCCCCGGCUAACUACGU
rnacentral:rRNA from 1 species